UCUCAAAGUUCCUGUAUGUACGAUUGGUCUACGAAUUUGAAGAAAAAGUGUGAAAAUGGGCAACAAAAAGAAAUCUAAAGAUAAACACCGCCAUAAAAAGGAAAAAAAGCGAAGAUCAGACAGUGAUUCAGAGUAUGAUUCCUCAAGAGGGAAAUCACUGCGGAGGUACAGAUCCUACUCCAGGUCCCCAACCAGACGACGUAGAUCACGAUCUAGAUCACCAGUGAUCAGGGAAAGAUCAAGAUCUCGCUCAGACUCGAGAAAAAAGGACAAGUAUAAAGGGUCAUCCAAGAGUUCACACAAAAGUAAAAGGCGACGAUCACCCUCGAGUUCUUCAUCUGAGUCAGAUUACGAUGGAGGGUCAUCUCGAAUUAAAAACAUUGAAAAGGAAAAAAUUGAGAAAAUUAUAAAAAGUAAAGAAG
rnacentral:misc_RNA from 1 species